GGAAGCCGAGGUAGACGCAGCCUGGUUCCCGGGAACGCAGCUACGGCUCGGAAGCCGAUGUGAAUCCUGGAGCCUAGGCACUUGAAAAGUCCCUCCCACUCCUCCCACUCCAUGUUUUUCUUGUCCUUGAUUCAGGUCCUGGAUCAGUGCAAGGUGCCAAGCUCCCAAACCCAGGAGGCGAGGCUGUGGCGCGUUGGAAACAGCUGAGGAAAGCAGGCUCCUCCGCCCCACACGUGGCUUCUUCCUGUUGCCCUGAGGAGCUCCCCCCACUCCGGGUUCCUCAUCUCGGUCACCGUGCUUUUGGCUUGUGGCACCUGUGUCCUUGCAAAUCACAGUUCAGCUUCUCUCCUGUCUCUCAAACCAGGUGUGAAAUAUCCCUUCUACUUGAAGGCAGCUCUAAUUAGCAACAAGAACCAUAUAUGUAUGAAGUAUACUUUAUAAAGUAACCCCAGUAACAUGCUU